UUGUCGGACGCUCUUUGGCGUCUCGGCUCCGAUUCCCCGCCCCAUCCGGCAUCUGUUUUCGAGUAGCAAUGACUACGAAGGCCGCGGUUUCGGUGGCUCUGCCCGAAGUGAAGCUCUUCGAUCGAUGGGGCUUUGAUGGUCUUGAGGGACCCAAGAGCCUCUGCUUGCCUUCUACAUGCUGCUAUUUUUAUCAAUUGCAACAUCCCCAUAAGGUCCUUUGGUUCUUCUUAUUCAUCCCCAGGUAUGCAGCUGCUUUGAGUGCCAUUAUUGAACACUUCUUUGCCCUUUUCUCUGAAGUUUGCACAGGUAGUCACUGGUUACUGUGUGCUGGGAGUGCCAAAUGAGAAGAAUGUUUUACUUUUCCUUUUAUUCUAGUUUAUUCUGUCACUGAUUUUAAUUUCUUUUGUGUGUUGCAUUUACAGAGGUGAACUGCUAGAAUGUUAUAUAAAGCGGUGCUUCUAAUAGUGAUAUGUUAAUUGUAUUAUAUUAGUCAGCUCAUCCAGUGAAAGAAUAGGAUGGGCUCGUUUAAUGUUCUGAUUUCUUCAUGGUUUUUAACAGUUAAAAUUAAGUUGAAUUUUAAGUGGUGCAUUGGUGACAGAAGAGUUUUUGAGUUAAGGGUGAUGAUUUCACUUGUCAAUGAGCUAGCCAUCCAGGAGUUUUAGAUGCGGAUGGGAGUUGGACAGGGUCAUUAUAAUCCAGUAGUUGUGUAGGAGUGCUGGUGAUGUGGUUUUUGUGAGUGUCAGCCACUUGGGUAAUUAAUUAUAGUGAAAAGAAUAAAAUCCCACUUGCUUCCAAAUGAUCUUAAAUGAAGCAGCAGCAUCUAGAUAUGUGUCUACUGACUGUUCAUUUACAUUUUUAUGGUCCAUAUGCAUAUAAUUUGAUAAGCUUCUUUUACUCUCUGUCUACUGUCUAACAUUACCAUAUUCUUUCAUUGCAGAGUUUAAGCAGUGAUCAUACACAGGUCUAGUACAUAAAGAAGAUUCCUCCAAAAACCUCAGCAAAAAGGAACACCACGCUGUCCAGAAAGGCACAACACAUCAGCCAUGGAAACAACACAACCAAACCAAUCCCUAAUACUGAAGUAGGCUGCAAAGUAAAUGGAAGUCAUCAUCAGGAAAUGCGUUGACAGAAUGAAAUGAAUGGAGGAAGAAGGGAACAAGUUCAACCAUGUUGGCAGAUGUGUUCUCGUAUGCUCUCUCGAUCUCUCCUACAAGAUCAUUAAUUGUAGGGCGUCCUUUGCUCGAACUGGCGACACAGAGAACGGCAAUAUUUAAGAUGGACUUGAAAACUUCCAAAUUAAGCUCUCCUUCAAGGCGCGGAUCUACAAAAUCUUCGAGUGGGCGUUUGCCUGCCGAGACAUCCUUGGCCUGCAUCAUGCACCACAAUAGAAUUCAAACAUGAAGAUCUUGCUGAGACUUCUGGGAUAUUACUAUCGUUUGGUGGCUACCUUUCUUGUCAGAGUUUCUCGUGCUUUUGUGUCCAGUUCAAUCACCUUACGCCCUGAUAGAAGCUGCAAUAUGACUACACCGAAGCUGUAGAUGUCACUGGCACAGGAGAGGUUUCCAUGGGACAUGUACUCCGGAUCCAUAUAGCCAAUGGUUCCUCUAACCUCUGUGAAGCAUUUUGUUUCCUUCAUUCCCACCAUCCUCGCCAACCCAAAGUCCGAAAGCUUUGGCUCCAUGUUGUCCAUCAACAGGAUGUUUGCGAGCUGAAAACCAUGUAUCAUCAAUGAAAGACGAUGAACUGAUACAAAGUUAUGGGUCAACUUCUCACCUUGAUGUCUCUGUGAACGAUACAGCCAUCUGGGUGAGUGUGGAGAAACCUUAACGCAAGGGAACAGUCUCUUAGGAUCUUCACCCUCUUCCCCCAUGGAAGAAGAGCAUCACUUCCUACAGUAACCAAGGAGGGAGACCAGAUUGGGAUGACGAACUUUGGAGAGGCCUUCGACUUCUCUCGUGAAGGAGCCAUUCAUAGCAGUCUUGUAGAGGUGCUUGAUUGCAACGAGCUGCCCGCUGGGAAGAAUGCCUUGGUAGACUUGGCCUGCACUUCCAGUGCCGAGGCGUAUUCUGCUGCUGCUGUAGUUUAUGGCUUUCUCAAUCUCUGCUUUGGAGAAUCUGUAAAGACCAGACCAUUUGCUUGCUACUUUCCCUAGUGCAGUAGUAGUGCCUUGAAAACAUGUGUGUUAGUGUGAUUGCUUGUGUAAGCAUCGAGCUCAAAUGCACAGGGAGAAUACCUUUGUUGUGUUCAUGAGUCUUUUUCCUAGCCUUGAACAAAGUAAUGAGAAGAAACAAUCCGAUCAAACCCAGUAGUGUUCCGAGUAUCACUUCCACGA